UAAUGAGGCGAACCGGGGGAACUGAAACAUCUAAGUACCCCGAGGAAAAGAAAUCAACCGAGAUUCCCCCAGUAGCGGCGAGCGAACGGGGAGCAGCCCAGAGCCUGAAUCAGUAUGUGUGUUAGUGGAAGCGUCUGGAAAGGCGCGCGAUACAGGGUGACAGCCCCGUACACAAAAAUGCACAUGCUGUGAGCUCGAUGAGUAGGGCGGGACACGUGGUAUCCUGUCUGAAUAUGGGGGGACCAUCCUCCAAGGCUAAAUACUCCUGACUGACCGAUAGUGAACCAGUACCGUGAGGGAAAGGCGAAAAGAACCCCGGCGAGGGGAGUGAAAAAGAACCUGAAACCGUGUACGUACAAGCAGUGGGAGCACGCUUAGGCGUGUGACUGCGUACCUUUUGUAUAAUGGGUCAGCGACUUAUAUUCUGUAGCAAGGUUAACCGAAUAGGGGAGCCGAAGGGAAACCGAGUCUUAACUGGGCGUUAAGUUGCAGGGUAUAGACCCGAAACCCGGUGAUCUAGCCAUGGGCAGGUUGAAGGUUGGGUAACACUAACUGGAGGACCGAACCGACUAAUGUUGAAAAAUUAGCGGAUGACUUGUGGCUGGGGGUGAAAGGCCAAUCAAACCGGGAGAUAGCUGGUUCUCCCCGAAAGCUAUUUAGGUAGCGCCUCGUGAAUUCAUCUCCGGGGGUAGAGCACUGUUUCGGCAAGGGGGUCAUCCCGACUUACCAACCCGAUGCAAACUGCGAAUACCGGAGAAUGUUAUCACGGGAGACACACGGCGGGUGCUAACGUCCGUCGUGAAGAGGGAAACAACCCAGACCGCCAGCUAAGGUCCCAAAGUCAUGGUUAAGUGGGAAACGAUGUGGGAAGGCCCAGACAGCCAGGAUGUUGGCUUAGAAGCAGCCAUCAUUUAAAGAAAGCGUAAUAGCUCACUGGUCGAGUCGGCCUGCGCGGAAGAUGUAACGGGGCUAAACCAUGCAC
rnacentral:rRNA from 1 species